rnacentral:lncRNA from 1 species
GUGGGAAUUGACUGCAAAAGGGCACGAGGGAAGUGUUCUGGGGGUGGAAACUAUUUCCUGAUUGUGGUGGUGACAGACUGCACACAUUUGUCAAAAAUCAUCGAAGGGCACGCUUGAAGUUGGUGAAUUUUGUUGUAUUUAAAUCUACCUUCACAAGACCCAUUUUUAAACAAAAACAAAUAAAAAUUCCAGUUUAGCCUGAGUCCGAGGUCCCCUCUCUUUGUUAAAAUUAGCAAGGACAGGAAGCAGCUAACCAAGGAGACAGGCCAGACACAGCCCUUCUCCUUGAGGAAACCAGAAACAGCUCCGGGGACCGAAGAGGAAGGAGCUAGGCCGUCUGAUGCGACAGCCGCCAGCCUUGCGUGCCUGUUCUCAUCUAAAUUAAUUCAGAUUCAAUAAAAUUUAAGUCAGUUCUUCAGUUGUCCUGGUCACAUUUCAAGGUCUCAACAGCCACGUGUGGCUUCUGUAGGGGACAAAUAGGAACACUCCACCCUCAGAGAAGGUUCCAGGGGCCAGAGCGGCCUGAGAUGUAUUUGUGCAUCUAAUUUAAAAUAGUCGUCCCUCCUUCCUCCUCCUUCGGGAAACAGUGGGUUUGGUUCCACCCCACUGUGUGCAAUCCGCCCUCUUUCCACCCUGACUGCCCCGGGGCGGAUGACGUCCUAAGGGCCUGUUCGCUUUUGGUCUAGAAGCUGCGUGUGGGGGUGUCUCGGGGUUUGAUCGAGGGGAUUCUGAGGACUGGGAGACCCCAGUAUUAAAGAAUUCUGGGAUCUUCAGAUUCAAAACUUGUCCCAGCUCCUGGGCCUGAAGGCUUCCGGAGUAGAGAGCUGACGGGGUCGCCGGACCACAUCCAGCCCCAUCCUCAGGCUCGUCCGCUCCCUCCCCGCUUCGCCCGGCCGCCAGCCUGUCCCUAACCCCCAGGAGAUGCAGAGGCCCCCAGUCAGUCAUUCUGGUGCCUCUGGGGCAGCAGCGUAUGUGGGCUCUGCCAGGAUUUGAGGGCAUCUCCGAGGAGCCCAGGUGGCGCUGUCUGAUCUGUGACCUCGUCCUCAGCAUCACGCAUGUUUGUGGAGCCAGGUCCUGUGCUGAGGGCUCUGCUGGCAUCAUCUUGGGGACUCAAGUGGUUGGCGCAAACCAGGAACUCAGAUCUAUCUGUUGAAGGAGUGAACACAUCUUGAAACAAGCCGAGAGGAGGCGCAGUGGGGCGGUCGGUGGGGGCAGGUGCAGCAGGCCAGGUCCUCUCUCCAAACCGGAAGCUGCAGUCUCCUAAUUGUCCAGACAGAAAGCUGAGGCUCAGAACAAUCGAGAGACAGAAGAGCUCUCAGCCCUGGCGGGGAGCUGGGUGAUAAGAGCGCCCCCGGAGGGGCCCUGUCUCCACGCUCCCAGGCCCCUUCUCAGAUGAUGCACCCUGGGCGCGCCCGGGGGGCUGGCUGGGCCCCAUCAUCGCUGCCAUUCGUCUGAUAAGAACUCUGCAGCCUGCAAGGUCAGGAGACUUGCCUCGGGGGUGGAAUGCUGCUGCGGGAGCACAGGCGGGUCCCAGGUGUCCUGUCUCUGUGCAGGGCGCUGGCUUCCCUCUCACCCUUUGCUGGGGCAGGAGGUUGAAAAAAACAGAAUCUGUCCACCCCCGCCUCCGCCGACACCAUAGAAAGGGGACAGGACUGACCUGGCCA